AGAUAUACUCUAUUUAAAAUAUUAAAGAAUGAUAUUUAAACCACUCUACCUUGCCAUGUGUGUCGCAAUUUAUUAUUUUAACACAAAACAGUUUUUUAACUCCAUUGAUUUAGUUAAAUUAACAUUGCUUUACUUAAAUUAACGACACGUUAAGUAGGAGCAGUGGCGCGACCUGUAGGAAUCGUUGAGUCAAAAAUGACUCUGAUUGAGUACAAUUUGACACUAGGAUUUAAACAGUGCAUCUUUCUCGUUGCAUGAGGCUUUGUUUUCGGAAAAGGAUCCGGUCCCGGAACCGAUCGAGAGAAAUGUAAAUGGACCGCGAGAUGCGGUAAAACGACGUCCUCGGAUACUUCCGAUACUGCGGGCGUGCCGAUCACGCGCGGCCUAACUGCGGGACACGUUCGCGUAACGGGGGGGAGUAGGGGAAAGGGGGAGAACAGAUAGGGCACAUGCCCUUGCCACACGGAAUACGAAAUGAGGGGGAAUAUCGAUUUUCGCCACGCUACACGCUAUCAGCGAACAGCGUUACCAUGAUAACACCCCCGCCGUCGCGGUCAUCGCUGCAGCGGAACCUGAUGCAGUCGGCCGUGGGCUCGCUUUUUGACGAUUCCGCCCCGUCUCUUCCUGGACACGUGCGUGAGAAGAGGUGAGCGAGAAAGAGAGAUGGAAGAGAGAAAUCUUAUACACGUGUCUCGACCACGGCGACGACAACAAAGAAACAGAUUCUUCACGCAAAGCCCCGAGACGCCGCAAAGCAAACGCAUUGUCGCCCGUCGCGGUACACCCUCUCCUCUUUCGCGAGAAUCGCUCUCGCGAGUGCGCACAAUGGAACAAAAGCUUGUUCUCUCUUGCUAGGUGACUCGGCUCAAGUGCGGCGUGAUGAAAAGUGUGCGGCGCGAAAAGAGGAGGAGAACGCGGAAGGUGCGGUAAUGCGUCGUCGCGGGAGGAUAUCCCUCUCGGAUGUUGCGUCAACAUUGUUGCGUCAUGGUAUAUUCUGGACCACGAUGGACCCUUGAAAAUCUACUUUCACCGAAGAGGAACGGAUAUUAACGGAACGCUGCAUGGUUUUGACACGUAGAGGCAACGCUUCGUGCUUCCUUUUAUCGCGGAGUAUCUCGUCUGAAAUGUUUCCCCUGCCUUUGAUAACUGACACAGCAAAAGUCUUUCUCGUCAAAAUGAUUCUUUUCCUAGUUUCAAAAAUUUAAGACUCGUUUAUUUUUUCAUUUUGUUUUUAUAUCAAAUACUUUUCAUUUCAACGGACUUGAGGGAAACGUACACUUGAAGAAAACUUUGCGCGUCUCCUUGAAGUAAACGAGUUCUCGCUUACGCAUUUUCUCGCGUCGUCGAAAGCAACGGGAAUAUUUCGAGUGGCCAAGCGAAAUACAAGCCCUCCGGUUCCGGUUACCACACCAAGAAAAAACGUAACGUCAGCUCUUAUCGUCUUACGUCAUCUCGCCCUGCGGGUAUUUACCUUCUCUUGCCGGUCGGCCAGCCGGAUUCGUGUUGACCGUGCACUUCAAAUCGCGCCGAGGAAGCCGACGAAGGAAAAUCGACCGCGAGGAACUCUCCGUGCAUACGGAACCGCGUGCUUUCUAACGUAUGCCGACGAAUAAAAAUCGCGCGAAACGUAAAACGCUAGCGAUUUAAUUGACCGUGGAACCCUCUCUGAGAUUAGAUCUCGGUAUUAUAAUUAGCGACGCACGUCUCCUCUUCCUCCUUCCAACCGAUUGCAAAUUAAAACGCUCGAUGAGUUUUCUCACCAGUUUCCACGCUCGAAGGCCAUCGCGCGCCAGACCGAACGGUAAAUCGAUAACGUUUCGCAUUGACCUCGAGAGCGGGCAACAUCUCCUGUGUUCUCUCUCUCUCUCUCUCUCUCUCUCUCUGUAUUGUAGAGCAACGGCCCGGAGGAUCUUCAGUUGAAGAUUAAUUCCAGGUCUCGGGAGAACACAGACUCGAGACAGUAUCGUCCUCUCCUUCCUCGUUCUCUCGGCGCAGCGGGUCGCGAGGGAGCAAAGGGUUAAAGAGGCUAAUUAACAACCGGUAUCGAUACGAUACGUCAGGUGCGUUGACGUAUAGCGCAAUAGGCACCGUUACCACGUCGAAAAAGUCGCCCGCCUCCGCAAGAUCGGCGCAAGACGGGGGCGGAAAAUGAAACUCCCCCGUCUUCCGUAAUCCGUACCCCGCGCGCGCAAUCUGUCACUGUCAAGGGCACCUAUGCGACCAGAGACCGUCUCUACAUCGCCAUUGUUAGAGUCAUUUCCGUCGCUUGAUUGCCCCCGGCGACAUCGCGUCGCAUCGAAAAUUUAACUGGGAUUCUCCUAUCCAAGUCUCUCUCUCUCUCUCUCUCUCUCUCUCUGUGAUCGUCACGAUAUUACCGCUGAUUGCUUCAUUGUCGCGGAACAUCCUUCUCCCUUUAUUGCCCAUAGAUAAGGCCUAUCUAUGUACGGUGCGUGUGGGAAAAUCAGGUAGCCGAGCGGCGCGUUUAACUAAACAGCCGACUCCGGAUUUCAUCGGACAAAUAAACACCGCAUUCCGUCAGUGGAAACCGAUCGCUCGAUCCUCGGCCAGAAUGCAUUCCUCGCCUCGCUAGUUGAGUUUCUCUUUGGCGAGAGAAUUUAAUUAACCGAUCCGGCGCGGCGCACCGCGCUCACGCGAGGGAUUAUCACAAACAAGAAGACGAUCCAUCCGUUUUAUUUAACCGUGUUUAUUUCGAUCCGUAAUAGUCUCUGUCGGUCGGAAAAAGCGCGGCGGUCGCGGUCAGAGAGAGAGAGAGAGAGAGAGAGAGAGAGAUAUAGAAAAAAAAUUAAUUAUUACUGUUUUCCGCGACCGUUACCCGACUCGGGAUAAAAGCACGAGUAAAAGGAGCCGAGACGAGGGGGCGUUCUCCAAAAAGGACGAUCGCGCAUUUGUAUCACGGCGAAGUCUCUUCGUCGGAGUAUACCGAAGGCCCAAGGAGCUUCUUUCUCGCGGCCGAUGACGUGGCUUCGUAGUGCGGUGUGACCUCCAUCGUUCUACUUUACGACGAAGCCCAAGUCCUGGGCAAGCAAGAGAGAGAGAGAGGUGGCUUCUUACGCCGCGGCGCCGCGGUAUACGAUUUUAUCCUCCUCGGCUCCACGAUCACGUAGACCUUUAUUACGAAUGAAUUGAUGGUGUUUAUUUAUGUUCCGGCGUACAUCCUUGCCGAGGAACUAAGAGAAGAAAUUCUCAAGUCCCCCUGAUACGAUAUACCAGCGAGAACGGCGUUUACAAGUACUAUACGUAAAAAAAAAUACAUAUGUAUAUACACAGCAGAAAGAUAAUAUAGUAGUGUAAUACGAAGAGGCGAUGAGACUCGGCGAAUCAAGUUACAACGCAGUAGCAUCAGAGUACGCGUUAACGAGUCGGAAAGAGGGGAGUCACUAAAAAUAAUAACGGAUUAAAUUAAACGCGGCCGAUUGAUUUUCGUCUCGGUACCGUACCGCGAUGUCAAACGUGACGUUUAUUUUUAUCGGAUGUAACUCGCGCAAACACGCCACGGUACUGUGCUCGACAUUGAAUGCGCCGCUAAACGGAGAGAAUACACGAACCGCCCGCGGACUCUGCGUCGUACCAAGGAUGCUGGGCAUAUUAGAUGGAGGCAUCUAGAUUACCCGGCGGCGGUCUAAUGGAAUUAAAAGAAAAGAUUCUCCUCCAUGUCCUUCGUACUUGGUCCGACUUGGUCAACUCGGUGGGGGAGGAAAAGGGACGGGAGGGCAUAAUGUGACACGAAAGAGACGAGAGAUGAGAAGAGAAGAUGAGGCGCAGAGGCGGCAGAAGUAGCAGCAGUAGCAGCGUGCGUGCGACGAUGUGAGCCAGAUUAUGAAAAUCAGAACGAACGGUCGUCGGUGUAGGUUAAAGGCUCGUUGCGCCGCGCGGCCGGCCGGGCCGGGGCGUAUAACGAUGUCACUUUUAUUAGCCUCAUCAGGGGCACCGAGAGAGGCAGCCUCCGACCGGGGGCGGGCACCACCAAUCAUUACCUAAUAUCCAACGUGAUCGCGUAUCUCGUUAGUCGUUACGCCGGCACGUUGCAUCCAUCGACGCACGCGUCGUUGGGCGAGAAAGUUUUCGCGCGCCUCUCGUAAGACGACGGCACCUGCGGCUGCCGUCCCUUUAACUUUAAGAUAAGAGAGAAAAGGUUCCCUUCCGCGGUGUAUUUUCGGCGCGAACGGGAAAAGAGAGAAAAGAGUAGACGCGAAGAAUCUCCGAACGACGAUUAUCGAUUGUAGCGACCGUAACUUAAUCACGCUUACGUGUGUUAAUUAUACCGCGAGAUUCGAGAGCGCGAGAAACGUCGAUAAUAAUAAUCGGUGUCGACGGCGCCGAGAAUUCCAAGGAAAAUUCGAAGGAGAAGCUCGAAGCGUCCCCGAGUCCCCGAGGAUCACCUUCCGUGAGAAAAAAAAAGUCCUACCCUCGCUCGAGAUUGCGUAACAUCCUCCUGACCACGAAUGCGGUCGCGGAGGUAAUUAUUGUAUUAUGAUUGUGGGAAAUUUAAUAUUCCUCCCUCUCCGCUUCCCCCCCCCCCUUUUUAAUGUAGAACGCGGUGCAUUAUCAAUAUUCAUUUACGCGCGCAAUUUAACGAAGCGCCAGAGUAUUUAAUGUAAUGUAACGUAACGCGCGUGUAACGCCGUUACGCGCACAGGUUUCGACAGGAGAGAUUCGUGGAAGUGAAAAUCAAACGGGUAAAUCGGGGUCACUCGUUACAUCGCAAAUCAUAUUUCGUAUAUAGGUACGCUCGCGAGAAGGUAUAGUAGCGCAUUUACGCGCGAGCGAGUUUCCCGUACACGUUCGGCUUGAAAAUCGGGUUACACCCUGCUCGAUUACCUACGAUUAAUUACAUUGAAAGCAUGCUCGCGUACGUGCACCUCGUAACACAUCCGUCAUUCUAACGAGCGCGCUAUCGUGUCUGCAAUCGUGACGCGGCGUACUUGAAAAAAAAAAUUUUUUUUUUUUUUAGGCGCAAAGACAACGCGAACUUUACUUCUCAACAACAAACCCCGAGCGAGUGUACGGGACAAAGUUUCUAAUUAAAGAGGAAGGAAAGGGAGGUCGACGAAUCGAGGCUGGAAUAAUAGAGAACUAGGUGUCUGAUUAUAUUAUCGGUGGAAAAAGGCCUCGGUAACGCAACGUGACGUAAUAGUCCGGCAGUUAGAAUCUCGGCAAUUCCUGUACGAGACGUCAAUCACGAGCCGCCGCCGCGCCGGAGGAACGAAAUUAUAUACGGCGAAAGAAAUUUCCGCGAAAGAAACACGGACAGAUUAAUCCGCGGUCUUAACGAUCGCGGGUACGUCGCGCGAAGUGUAAAAUCCAGCGGCGCGUUUUUUUUGCCGCUUUUCCUGGGCACGUCCCGUUCUCUUUUUUUUUUUUCGGAAAAUAUCGGGACGUGACAUAUCGCUGAUAUUGCGAAACGUCGUCGAGACUCGUUUCGCCUUGGAAGAGCGCACGGUUACUCAGCGCGUAUCCGUUACGUGUUACAUACAUACGGUACGACGUGGAAUACCGCGUGCGUCACUAUUACGACGAUAUAAAUUGACUCUAAUAUAAUAAUAUAAGGAAUUUCGCACGCGCCAGUUGUUUACGCGGCAACUCCACGGUAUAUAUUAAUCCCCGUGUAUAUCACGACCUCUGGUCACGCGACGGGAAACGUCCUCCUUCAUGCAAUACAGAAAGCAAGUCGGAAGAAAAAAAAGGAGCGACAGGGGGGACCGGUUAUCCUUGGAUAUCGUUGCCAAAGGAGAUUGGAGUUGAUUGAUAAAAUUGCGUGUCGCGCGCGAUGGAAGUGUGCGGAGGAAACGUUGAUCGGACUAAUCGGAGGAAUGAUCUUCGAUCGUCUCGGAUACGAGACCCGAUCUCUCUCUCUCUCUCUCUCUCUCUUUCUCUCAUCCUCGAGAACAGAUCGUGAACUGAGAAUCGUGAACCGAGGAGGAGAUCACGUACGGUCUCUCUCGGUCAUCUCGGACGAGAUCCUCGCUCCCGUUGAAGCUUCGCGCGACCCGGUCGCGAAUUUCUCGCGAGGGAGACGUCCCUUCUCCAGGGACACUGCACGUAACGCCUCGAGGCGACUGUGAAUCAUCCCGCGCCGCGCACGAACGGGCAGACACUUGGCAAGUCCAAGAUAACCCGUUUCUUAAUCGGCCGUGUACGCGCUUACUCGAGCGUGCGUUAUCCUCGUGCACCGUGGCGGCGUGAACGGGAAAGGAAGAGAGAGAGAAAGAGAGAGAGGGAGAGGGAGGGAAAGAGAGCGACGAGGAAGUGCGCGUGUGCUAGGGGAAUUUCCAAGUUCACCAGGCACCUCCAUCGAUCUGCCGGCUAUCUGGCGUUGUGGCGGCCGGCUAACAGCCGCCCGCCGUCGUUGCCGCUUAUUGCACUUUACGUGCCGCAGCGGUGGCGGCGGCGUUCACUUUUAUUCGAGGGUAACACCGGCCGGGAACCACCACCGGCCAAGCUAUCGACCCCUGAACUUGACCCCCAUAGAAGCGAGAGCCUAAAUCCAGCGGCUAGAGGAGGCCCGCGUGCACGUCAACGCGUCCGCGAAUCCUCGACGCGGCUUUAGACAAAUAUCCACGACGCCCUCGAGAGACGGGGAAAGGGGGAGAGAGAAUAAAAUCUCGAAUUGAAAAUUUCUCAUUCUGACAUUCGAUUUCCGUCGUCGUCUCUCUCCAUCUCGGGAUCUCUCUCGCGCGCGCGCGCGCGUUUCUCGUGCACUCGAUUUUUGUUUGUUGUGUGACGUGUUGCGCAAUAAACAAGGUACGCCCAGGUGUUGCCCGCGGCUGGUCGUAUUGUUCGCGAAUCCCCGAUCUCUCUCACGAUGGAUGCAUUCCCCCCCUCCCCGCGGGGAAGGGGGAAGGAAACAAUGCGAUCCCACCCAUUUUCUUUUCCUCGGGGGUUAGCGCGGUCGCAAUCGAUUCUAUUGAUCUAUCUCGAGUGGUCGUCUCCAUCCGCGAAGGGUCGAAGGAACGCUCCGUCGUUGCGGAAUACCGAGAACUUGGUUUCUUAAAAGAUAUCGCCUCUCCUGCGUCAUCCGAGAGAGUGCACCAGCCUGAAAAUCCCAGCCCCCUUUUCCCCUUCGUCCGUCCGACGGACGAAAAGAAAAGGGACGUGAGAAGAAAAGAUUCGUACAUGUACAACUCUUCGCAAGAGCCUGCUUUCUGCUUCGAGACAGUUGUCGAAACAAAAAAUGUCACGGUAUUUACAAAUAGAAAAAGAGAGAACGAUUUCAGGCAAAAAGGCCUGAACUCUGGCCGACGGCGGAAAGAACGCGCGGCAGGACGAGGGGAAAGGCAAAUCCUUCCGACAAAAAACUACACGACACCGUUGUUGAAUCUUUAAAUGGCGCUCCGUGUAACGAACGUGCGUUGCAUGGACGUAUCCUACAUGUGUAACAUCGAACAGGUCAGAAUUUUCCUUCAUCUUUGGGGUGACCCGAGAAAAACGAGUCCGUCGUCGCGGUUAUGGUUUUUCGGGGGCAAAACAGGAGAAGAACAUCUUCGGAGAAAAUGGCCCAAGGACUCUUCUAUACUCACCGUGAUUCUGUCUUGG